AGCUAGUGCAACAAUCUUGAUGACAUCAAUAUUAGAUCAAAGUUCUCUCUCUAUAUAUUUUUCUUUCUAUGUUUUGAUCUGAAUUUUGAAGUAUGUAGUAUGUGUUGGCUGAGGAUUCUAGAACUAACAGAUUUCUUUUUCUUUUUCUAGGUGCUGUUUAUGGUAUGAGGCCAUUAGAUUUAAGGUGUUAGGACUAUUGAAAAUUAGAUAUAUUGGAUAAAAAACAACACUUGGAAGUACUGCCAUAUUUGGCCUUUUCUUAGGGGCUGGGAGUUUGAUACAUUGUGGAAAGUCAUAUUAAAUCACAAGGUCCUGUAUUACAAGUUAUGUUUAUGUGAUUAUUACCUUAAUCUUACUUUUAGCCAGCAAACAAGAACAUUUAUUGAAGUCGUGGAUCAUUGAUGCACAACUAGGUUCGACAUUA